UUAAGCCUCUGAGAUUGGGGACUUAAAGGGAGAGGGAGGAGUUUGCUAAAGGCUUUGUGAGUUUCCUCCUUCCCUCUUUUAGUCCCCUAUCUUGGAGGCUUA